UGAGUCGUAUUUGGUGUAUGCUACA
rnacentral:misc_RNA from 1 species